UGGUCCUGCAAUGUCGAGUAAAGGCUUAUUGUACUGUGAAACUGCGAAUGGCUCAUUAAAUCAGUUAUCGUUUAUUUGAUAGUACCUUACUACAUGGAUACCUGUGGUAAUUCUAGAGCUAAUACAUGCUAAAAACCCCGACUUCAGGAAGGGGUGUAUUUAUUAGAUAAAAAACCAACGCCCUUCGGGGCUCCUUGGUGAAUCAUAAUAACUUAACGAAUCGCAUGGCCUUGCGCCGGCGAUGGUUCAUUCAAAUUUCUGCCCUAUCAACUUUCGAUGGUAGGAUAGUGGCCUACCAUGGUGGCAACGGGUAACGGGGAAUUAGGGUUCGAUUCCGGAGAGGGAGCCUGAGAAACGGCUACCACAUCCAAGGAAGGCAGCAGGCGCGCAAAUUACCCAAUCCCGAUACGGGGAGGUAGUGACAAUAAAUACUGAUACGGGGCUCUUUUGGGUCUCGUAAUUGGAAUGAGAACAAUUUAAAUCCCUUAACGAGGAACAAUUGGAGGGCAAGUCUGGUGCCAGCAGCCGCGGUAAUUCCAGCUCCAAUAGCGUAUAUUAAAGUUGUUGCAGUUAAAAAGCUCGUAGUUGAACCUUGGGUCUGGCUGGCCGGUCCGCCUCACCGCGAGUACUGGUCCGGCUGGACCUUUCCUUCUGGGGAACCUCAUGGCCUUCACUGGCUGUGGGGGGAACCAGGACUUUUACUGUGAAAAAAUUAGAGUGUUCAAAGCAGGCCUUUGCUCGAAUACAUUAGCAUGGAAUAAUAGAAUAGGACGUGUGGUUCUAUUUUGUUGGUUUCUAGGACCGCCGUAAUGAUUAAUAGGGAUAGUCGGGGGCGUCAGUAUUCAGCUGUCAGAGGUGAAAUUCUUGGAUUUGCUGAAGACUAACUACUGCGAAAGCAUUCGCCAAGGAUGUUUUCAUUAAUCAGGGAACGAAAGUUAGGGGGAUCAAAGACGAUCAGAUACCGGUCGUAGUCUUAACCAUAAACUAUGCCCGACUAGGGGAUCGGAACGGAAUUCUAUAAUGAACCGGUUCGGCCCCUUACGAAGAAAUCAAAGUUUUUUGGGUUUCUGGGGGGGAAAUAUGGGCCGCAAGGGCUGAAAACUUAAAGAAAUUGGACCGGAAGGGGCACCCCCAAGGGCGUGGGAAGCCUGGCGGCUUUAAUUUUGACUCCAACACGGGGGAAAACUCCACCAGGGUCCCAGACAAAAAUAAAGGGAUUGGACAGAAUUGGAAGACCUCUUUUCCUGGAACUUUUUUGGGAAUGGGGGGGGGCAUGGGGCCCCUUUCCUAAAUUUGGGGGGGAAGAGGAAUUUUGUCUCGGCUUUAAAUUGGCGAAAUUA
rnacentral:rRNA from 1 species